rnacentral:ncRNA from 1 species
AAAAGGUUUGGUCCUGGCCUUUAUAUUAGCUGUCAGUAUACUUACACAUGCAAAUAUCCGUAAUCCAGUGAGUCACGCCCAAAAUUUCCAUAUAUAGGAAAAAAAGGAGCAGGGAUCAAGCACACUAAUUUUAAUUAGUAGCUAAAAACACCACGUCUAACCACACCCCCACGGGUCACAGCAGUGAUAAAAAUUAAGCAAUGAACGAAAGUUUGACUAAGUAAUGCUGAACAAGGGUUGGUAAAUUUCGUGCCAGCCACCGCGGUCAUACGAUUAACCCUAGUUAAUAUAUAACGGCGUAAAGAGUGCUAAAACUAUUUGUUUAAAUAGGGUUUAAGCCUAAUUUAGCUGUAAAAAGCACUGAUUAAAGCGAAAAUCAGUAACGAAAGUAAUCCUAUUGUAUUGCAGCACUAAAGCUAUAGAACAAACUGGGAUUAGAUACCCCACUAUGUAUAGCCAUAAACACAAAUAAAUUAACAACAAAUUUAUUCGCCUGAGGACUACAAGCAACUGCUAGAAACUCAAAGGACUUGGCGGUGCUUUAUAUCCAUCUAGAGGAGCCUGUUCCGUAAUCGAUAAACCCCGAUCUACCUUACCACUUCUUGCUAAUUCAGCCUAUAUACCGCCAUCCUCAGCUAACCCUAAAAAGGAACAUUAGUAAGCUCAAUCAUUAUAAACUAAUAAAAAAGUUAGGUCAAGGUGUAGCCAAUGGAGUGGAGAGCAAUGGGCUACAUUUUCUGUAUACAGAACAUCACGGAGUUCCCUCUGAAAUACAGGGAAUGAAGGAGGAUUUAGUAGUAAAUUGAAAGUAGAGUGUUCAAUUGAAUAGAGCAAUGAAGCACGUACACACCGCCCGUCACCCUCCUCAAAAUCAUGUACAGCUAAAUAAUAAUUAAUUACCAGCAAGUAUGAGAUUAGAGGAGACAAGUCGUAACAAGGUAAGCGUACUGGAAAGUGCGCUUGGAAUAAU